GGGGGCAGCAAUGUCACCGGCGAACGGGUGCGUAACGCGUAUGCAACCUACCUACAUCAGGGGGAUAGCCCUAGGAAACUGGGAUUAACACCGCAUAACAAUAGAGUUGGCAUCAACUUUAUUUGAAAUAUUUAUAGGAUGUAGAUGGGCAUGCGUAGGAUUAGCUAGUUGGUAAGGUAACGGCUUACCAAGGCUACGAUCCUUAGGGGCUCUGAGAGGAGUAUCCCCCACACUGGCACUGAGAUACGGGCCAGACUCCUACGGGAGGCAGCAGUAGGGAAUAUUGGGCAAUGGAGGCAACUCUGACCCAGCCAUGCCGCGUGCAGGAAGACGGUCCUCUGGAUUGUAAACUGCUUUUGAAUGGGAAGAAUGUGUGGCUUGCGAGCUAUAAUGACGGUACCAUUAGAAUAAGCCACGGCUAACUACGUGCCAGCAGCCGCGGUAAUACGUAGGUGGCGAGCGUUAUCCGGAUUUAUUGGGUUUAAAGGGUGCGUAGGCGGCUUAAUAAGUCGGUGGUUAAAAGUAGCAGCUUAACUGUUUUACAUGCCAUCGAUACUGUUGAGCUUGAGAUAUUUGGAGGCAGCUAGAAUUUCCGGUGUAGCGGUGAAAUGCAUAGAUACCGGAAGGAAUACCAAUUGCGAAGGCAGGUUGCUACGAAUAAACUGACGCUGAUGCAUGAAAGCGUGGGGAUCAAACAGGAUUAGAUACCCUGGUAGUCCACGCCGUAAACGAUGAUUACUAGUUGUUGGGGUUUAAGCUUCAGUGACCAAGGGAAACCGAUAAGUAAUCCACCUGGGGAGUACGC
rnacentral:rRNA from 1 species